rnacentral:rRNA from 1 species
GGGUUGUGAGGUUAAGCGACUAAGCGUACACGGUGGAUGCCCUGGCAGUCAGAGGCGAUGAAGGGCGUGCUAAUCUGCGAUAAGCGCCGGUAAGGUGAUAUGAACCGUUAUAACCGGCGAUACCCGAAUGGGGAAACCCAGUGUGAUUCGUCACACUAUCAUUAACUGAAUCCAUAGGUUAAUGAGGCGAACCGGGGGAACUGAAACAUCUAAGUACCCCGAGGAAAAGAAAUCAACCGAGAUUCCCCCAGUAGCGGCGAGCGAACGGGGAGGAGCCCAGAGCCUGAAUCAGCAUGUGUGUUAGUGGAAGCGUCUGGAAAGGCGCGCGAUACAGGGUGACAGCCCCGUACACAAAAGCGCAUAUGCUGUGAGCUCGAUGAGUAGGGCGGGACACGUGGUAUCCUGUCUGAAUAUGGGGGGACCAUCCUCCAAGGCUAAAUACUCCUGACUGACCGAUAGUGAACCAGUACCGUG